rnacentral:rRNA from 1 species
GUGGGGAAUUUUGGACAAUGGGCGCAAGCCUGAUCCAGCAAUGCCACGUGCAGGAAGAAGGCCUUCGGGUUGUAAACUGCUUUUGUACGGAACGAAACGGUCCGGGUUAAUACCCUGGGCUAAUGACGGUACCGUAAGAAUAAGCACCGGCUAACUUCGUGCCAGCAGCCGCGGUAAUACGAAGGGUGCAAGCGUUAAUCGGAAUUACUGGGCGUAAAGCGCGCGUAGGUGGGUUUGUAAGUUGGAGGUGAAAUCCCCGGGCUCAACCUGGGAAUUGCGCUUGUGACUGCAAGGCUGGAGUGCGGCAGAGGGGGAUGGAAUUCCGCGUGUAGCAGUGAAAUGCGUAGAUAUGCGGAGGAACACCGAUGGCGAAGGCAAUCCCCUGGGCCUGCACUGACGCUCAUGCACGAAAGCGUGGGGAGCAAACAGGAUUAGAUACCCGGGUAGUCC